rnacentral:rRNA from 1 species
GAACCUCGCUUGCGGGGGGAUUAGUGGCGAACGGGUGAGUAACACGUGAGUAACCUGCCCUUAACUCUGGGAUAAGCCUUGGAAACGGGGUCUAAUACUGGAUAUUGACUUUAUCUCGCAUGGGGUUUGGUUGAAAGAUUUAUUGGUUUUGGAUGGACUCGCGGCCUAUCAGCUUGUUGGUGAGGUAAUGGCUCACCAAGGCGACGACGGGUAGCCGGCCUGAGAGGGUGACCGGCCACACUGGGACUGAGACACGGCCCAGACUCCUACGGGAGGCAGCAGUGGGGAAUAUUGCACAAUGGGCGAAAGCCUGAUGCAGCGACGCCGCGUGAGGGAUGACGGCCUUCGGGUUGUAAACCUCUUUCAGUAGGGAACAAGGCCAGCAUUUUUGUUGGUUGAGGGUACUUGCAGAAGAAGCGCCGGCUAACUACGUGCCAGCAGCCGCGGUAAUACGUAGGGCGCAAGCGUUAUCCGGAAUUAUUGGGCGUAAAGAGCUCGUAGGCGGUUUGUCGCGUCUGCCGUGAAAGUCCGGGGCUCAACUCCGGAUCUGCGGUGGGUACGGGCAGACUAGAGUGAUGUAGGGGAGACUGGAAUUCCUGGUGUAGCGGUGAAAUGCGCAGAUAUCAGGAGGAACACCGAUGGCGAAGGCAGGUCUCUGGGCAUUAACUGACGCUGAGGAGCGAAAGCAUGGGGAGCGAACAGGAUUAGAUACCCUGGUAGUCCAUGCCGUAAACGUUGGGCACUAGGUGUGGGGGACAUUCCACGUUUUCCGCGCCGUAGCUAACGCAUUAAGUGCCCCGCCUGGGGAGUACGGCCGCAAGGCUAAAACUCAAAGGAAUUGACGGGGGCCCGCACAAGCGGCGGAGCAUGCGGAUUAAUUCGAUGCAACGCGAAGAACCUUACCAAGGCUUGACAUGAACUGGAAAUACCUGGAAACAGGUGCCCGCUUGCGGUCGGUUACAGUGGUGCAUGGUUGUCGUCAGCUCGUGUCGUGAGAUGUUGGGUUAAGUCCCGCAACGAGCGCAACCCUCGUUCUAUGUUGCCAGCACGUUAUGGUGGGGACUCAUAGGAGACUGCCGGGGUCAACUCGGAGGAAGGUGAGGACGACGUCAAAUCAUCAUGCCCCUUAUGUCUUGGGCUUCACGCAUGCUACAAUGGCCGGUACAAUGGGUUGCGAUACUGUGAGGUGGAGCUAAUCCCAAAAAGCCGGUCUCAGUUCGGAUUGGGGUCUGCAACUCGACCCCAUGAAGUCGGAGUCGCUAGUAAUCGCAGAUCAGCAACGCUGCGGUGAAUACGUUCCCGGGCCUUGUACACACCGCCCGUCAAGUCACGAAAGUUGGUAACACCCGAAGCCGGUGGCCUAACCCCC